UAAAAUCAUGGACAUGGACUUAAUUACAUGUAACUAGGAAAAAAAGUCUGGAGAACAAAUUUUACAACCGGACCAAAUUUACUGUUACACUAUUCCAACUAAUUUAAUAUGACGUCUGGCAAGGCGUCCCAUAAAAAAAAUAAAAAUAGCCUUGCCAGACGUCAUAAUUAUUUGGACUACUGUUACACUAGGACCACAGGCACUAGACGUUCCCCCUUUUAUUAAUUUCUUGAUUAGCUACUGUCACGGUGUAUUUGUAUAUACAGAAGAAUUCUAGAGUUUUGUAUCACUUUGACAGUCAAAUCCUGACACAGUUGUAGGAAGGCGUCCCAGAAAAAAAUUAAAAUAGCCUUGCCAGACGUCAUAAUUAUUUGGACUACUGAGUGACACAGCAGACCAACCAGAGACAUAUAUACAUGUAUAUAUGUCUCUGGCCCAACUGAGACCAGAUACCAUUUUUAUUCAUGAGUUAUGAUCAGUAUCAGAUAUAAAUGAGGGGGAGGACAGGGAUAAGGGAGACAGGGAGAAAGGAGGUAGGAGAAAGGGGUGGGAGAAAGGGGGAUAGGAGAAAGGAGAGGAAGGUUGGGAAAAAGGAGAAGUUGGAGAAAAAAAUAAAAUAUGAAAAAAUAAAAUAUCUCUUUUUUCCGGUAAAUUAAAAAAAAUAAAAUAAGGAGAAGAGGGGUAGGAGAAAGGAGAAAGGGGUAGGAGAAGAGGGGUGAGAGAAGGAAAAAGAGUACCCCCCUGUCCUCCCCCUCAUAAAUGCAUUUUCAGAUCCUUUUUUCGCUUGUUCUAUUAAAAUCUUACCAC
rnacentral:lncRNA from 1 species